UUGAGAGUUUGAUCCUGGCUCAGAACGAACGCUGGCGGCACGCCUAACACAUGCAAGUCGAGCGCUACCUUCGGGUGGAGCGGCGGACGGGUUAGUAACGCGUGGGAACAUACCCUUCUCUACGGAAUAGCCUCGGGAAACUGAGAGUAAUACCGUAUACGCCCUUCGGGGGAAAGAUUUAUCGGUGAAGGAUUGGCCCGCGUAAGAUUAGAUAGUUGGUGGGGUAACGGCCUACCAAGUCGACGAUCUUUAGCUGGUUUGAGAGGAUGAUCAGCCACACUGGGACUGAGACACGGCCCAGACUCCUACGGGAGGCAGCAGUGGGGAAUAUUGGACAAUGGGCGCAAGCCUGAUCCAGCCAUGCCGCGUGAGUGAUGAAGGCCUUAGGGUUGUAAAGCUCUGUCGUGAGGGAAGAAGAUCUGACGGUACCUCACAAGAAAGCACCGGCUAACUCCGUGCCAGCAGCCGCGGUAA
rnacentral:rRNA from 1 species